UAUAAGUGCGUUAACGAUAGGAGUGACAUCCUUUUUUGCUCAUUGCCACCCUGCAAAUGGCAAAAAAGAUAUAACGGAUAGCGUGUUAAAAC
rnacentral:sRNA from 1 species